GCUGGUGCCCCGCGGUGAGGCCGGCCAGCAUGGAGAACCACUCCUUGGGGUACUGCGGACGCUUCUUGGCGUACGUCUCCGACGGCUUCUCGUAGAGCCCCGCCAUUCUUUCUCAAUUCUUAGCUUCGGCUAUCUCGGUAUCGCCUGCCUAUCAGCUGCCAAGUGCGGUUCGAUCUUGGAUGGAAUUCAUAGCCACAAAAGUGGCCAAAGUCAUAGCCAAUUCAAAAAGAGGAACUUUUGCAUUAUCCACUGAAUCAAAGCAAAGGUUGACUCAGACUGCAACAUCACAUGCAUGGGGAAUCUUGUGCGGCAGCAGAAACCAUACACAACAUGAGAUGAUUUUCCACAUAGUAGUAUGAAGAAAGCAGGGACAGGCUGAUGCAGCAGUCAGGGGGUGAGGGCAGCAGUGAUACACAGAAGAGACAAGCGACGCGGCACAACAAGAGUGACACACAGAAGAAACUAAGAAAUGUCUAUUCACACUUGGAUGAUAAAUAAAAGCACUAGAUUUAAAGUGCUCAUAUGAGCACAAGAGCUACAUGAGCACAGGAUAUGUUCCCGAGUCUAAAACCUGUAGGCUGUAGAAACUUGUGUUAGCGUAAGGAGAUCCACCAAAUUCUGAAACCUGUAUAUCGUGCAAUAACCCAAUAAAGUAAAUUAACGUGAGGUGAGUCGUCAGUUGCUCACUCUUAACUUUUCUGCCCA